rnacentral:rRNA from 1 species
GACGAACGCUGGCGGCGUGCUUAACACAUGCAAGUCGAACGGAAAGGCCAUGCUUUUGUGGGGUGCUCGAGUGGCGAACGGGUGAGUAACACGUGAGUAACCUGCCCUUGAAUUUGGGAUAACUUCAGGAAACUGGGGCUAAUAACGGAUAGGAGCUCCUGCUGCAUGGUGGGGGUUGGAAAGUUUCGGCGGUUGGGGAUGGACUCGCGGCUUAUCAGCUUGUUGGUGGGGUAGUGGCUUACCAAGGCUUUGACGGGUAGCCGGCCUGAGAGGGUGACCGGCCACAUUGGGACUGAGAUACGGCCCAGACUCCUACGGGAGGCAGCAGUGGGGAAUAUUGCACAAUGGGCGGAAGCCUGAUGCAGCAACGCCGCGUGCGGGAUGACGGCCUUCGGGUUGUAAACCGCUUUCGCCUGUGACGAAGCGUGAGUGACGGUAAUGGGUAAAGAAGCACCGGCUAACUACGUG